rnacentral:rRNA from 1 species
GACGAACGCUGGCGGCGUGCUUAACACAUGCAAGUCGAACGGUAAGGCGCCUUCUGGGGUUCGCGAGUGGCGCACGGGUGAGUAACACGUGAGCAACCUUCCCUUGACGCUGGAAUAACCGUUGGAAACAGCUGCUAAUACUGGAUAUUCAUCGUCUCCUUCCUGGGGGGGGGUGGAAGGCUCCGGCGGUCAGGGUUGGGCUCGCGGCCUAUCAGCUUGUUGGUGAGGUAAUGGCUCACCAAGGGUUCGACGGGUAGCCGGCCUGAGAGGGGGACCGGCGACAAUGGGACUGAGAGACGGCCCAGACGGCUACGGGGGGCAGCAGUGGGGAAUAUUGCACAAUGGGCGCAAGCCUGAUGCAGCAACGCCGCGUGCGGGAUGAAGGCCUUCGGGUUGUAAACCGCAUUCAGUAGGGACGAAGGGUGACUGACGGUACCUACAGAAGAAGGACCGGCUAACUACGUG